rnacentral:rRNA from 1 species
CAAGCGGAUCUCUUAAAGCCGUUCUCAGUUCGGACNGUAGGCUGCAACUCGCCUACACGAAGCUGGAAUCGCUAGUAAUCGCGGAUCAGCACGCCGCGGUGAAUACGUUCCCGGGCCUUGUACACACCGCCCGUCACACCAUGGAAGUCUGCAAUGCCCGAAGCCGGUGGCCUAACCACUUAUGUGGAAGGAGCCGUCUAAGGCAGGGCAGAUGACUGGGGUGAAGUCGUAACAAGGUAAC